rnacentral:rRNA from 1 species
ACAGCCACACAGCCAUGAAUGCGCCUGAUCUCAUCUCAUCUUGGAAGCUAAGGAGGGUCAGGCCUGGUUAGUACCGGUUAGUACUUAAAUGGGAGAAAACAAUCUGGCUCUC